GAUGAACGCUGGCGGCGUGCCUAAUACAUGCAAGUCGAGCGAACAGACGAGGAGCUUGCUCCUCUGACGUUAGCGGCGGACGGGUGAGUAACACGUGGAUAACCUACCUAUAAGACUGGGAUAACUUCGGGAAACCGGAGCUAAUACCGAAUAAUAUAUUGAACCGCAUGGUUCAAUAGUGAAAGACGGUUUUGCUGUCACUUAUAGAUGGAUCCGCGCCGCAUUAGCUAGUUGGUAAGGUAACGGCUUACCAAGGCAACGAUGCGUAGCCGACCUGAGAGGAUGAUCGGCCACACUGGAACUGAGACACGGUCCAGACUCCUACGGGAGGCAGCAGUAGGGAAUCUUCCGCAAUGGGCGAAAGCCUGACGGAGCAACGCCGCGUGAGUGAUGAAGGUCUUCGGAUCGUAAAACUCUGUUAUUAGGGAAGAACAAAUGUGUAAGUAACUAUGCACGUCUUGACGGUACCUAAUCAGAAAGCCACGGCUAACUACGUG
rnacentral:rRNA from 1 species